rnacentral:tRNA from 1 species
GGAGAAUUCGCAUAGUGGUCGAGUGCGCCACCUUGGAAAGGUGGUAUAUCCGAAAGGGUAUCGAGGGUUCGAAUCCCUCAUUCUCCGCAA